CCAUUUGUUAUGGUGAAAAAUUAAUAAUUGGAGACUAUACAUGGACAUUUAAGUAUAGCCAGAUAGAAAUAUUUAAAAUUUCCGAAAGGAAGAUUAAGUUUACAGUAAAAUAUGACUAAAAAAGUGCCAGCAGUCGCGGUCAUACUUUUGUAUAAUUAAUUAAAAUAUAUAAGGAUAUUAUUAUUAAAAAUGGGUGGUGAAAUAUUUUGGGAGACUUUAAUAAUAUACUGUAUAAAAAAAAAUUGGUGGAAAACAAGGAUUAGAUACCCUUUUAUUCAAUUCUCAUAAUUUCUUAUCAGGGACUACAAUCUACUGGAUUAAAACCUAAAUAACAUGGCGGUAAUUCUAAAUAUUAGGGGAACUUACCAAAUAAAUGAUAACCACCAAGGUUAAUUUACUUUUUUUAACUAUUUUGUAUGCCGUCGCCGUCAGAUAGUAUAAAAUAUACUAUCAGUAUGUAUAAGUGUAUAAAAAGGCAGAUCAAGGUGCAGAUAAUAAAAAAGACAUGUGCGAGUUACUAUGAAAUCACAGAUAUUUCCGUUAAAUGGAAUAGAAGAAGGACUUAAAUGUAAUUUAUAUAACCAUUAUUAAAUGAAUUCUACUAGAAUUGUGUACAAAUCGCCCGUCACUCUUGGGUCUACUUAAGAUAAGUCGUAACAUAGUAGGCGUAGUGGAAGCUGCUCCU
rnacentral:rRNA from 1 species